rnacentral:rRNA from 1 species
CGGCGGACGGGUUAGUAACGCGUGGGAACAUACCCAACUCUAAGGAAUAGCCACUGGAAACGGUGAGUAAUACCUUAUACGCCCUUCGGGGGAAAGAUUUAUCGGAGAUGGAUUGGCCCGCGUUAGAUUAGAUAGUUGGUGGGGUAAUGGCCUACCAAGUCUACGAUCUAUAGCUGGUUUGAGAGGAUGAUCAGCAACACUGGGACUGAGACACGGCCCAGACUCCUACGGGAGGCAGCAGUGGGGAAUCUUAGACAAUGGGCGCAAGCCUGAUCUAGCGAUGCCGCGUGAGUGACGAAGGUCUUAGGAUCGUAAAGCUCUUUCGCCAGGGAUGAUAAUGACAGUACCUGGUAAAGAAACCCCGGCUAACUCCGUGCCAGCAGCCGCGGUAAUACGGAGGGGGUUAGCGUUGUUCGGAAUUACUGGGCGUAAAGCGCACGUAGGCGGACUAUUAAGUUAGAGGUGAAAUCCCGGGGCUCAACCCCGGAACUGCCUUUAAUACUGGUAGUCUAGAGUUCGAGAGAGGUAAGUGGAAUUCCGAGUGUAGAGGUGAAAUUCGUAGAUAUUCGGAGGAACACCAGUGGCGAAGGCGGCUUACUGGCUCGAUACUGACGCUGAGGUGCGAAAGUGUGGGGAGCAAACAGGAUUAG